rnacentral:rRNA from 1 species
GACGAACGCUGGCGGCGUGCUUAACACAUGCAAGUCGAACGGGAAACCUUUUAAUGCAGCUUCGGCAGAUUUAGCUGGUUUCUAGUGGCGGCCGGGUGAGUAACGCGUGGGUAACCUGCCUUAUACAGGGGGAUAACAGUCAGAAAUGACUGCUAAUACCGCUUAAGCGCACAGGACCGCAUGGUCCGGUGUGACAAACUCCGGUGGUGUAAGAUGGACCCGCGUUGGAUUAGCUUGGUGGUGGGGUAACGGCUCACCAAGGCGACGAUCCAUAGCCGGCCUGGGAAGGUGAACGGCCACAUUGGGACUGAGACACGGCCCAGACUCCUACGGGAGGCAGCAGUGGUGAAUAUUGCACAAGGGGGGAAACCCUGAUGCAGCGACGCCGCGUGAAGGAAGAAGUAGCUCGGUAUGUAAACUUCUAUCAGCAGGGAAGAUAGUGACGGUACCUGACUAAGAAGCCCCGGCUAACUACGUG